AGAAGAUAUCAGCAGACCUUAGACAAGACAAGACAAUCGUUUAUUGUAUAUUAGGCCACCGGCCCUUAUACAAGCGAGUUACAUACAUUAAGACAUGGUUAAUUGUAAGUGUUC